UGGGAACAUAGUUUCAAUUUGGUAAAAACGUAUGUUUUGCAAACAUAAAAUUACCAGUUCAAGUCUGGUUGUUUCCAG
rnacentral:tRNA from 1 species